GAUGAACGCUGACAGAAUGCUUAACACAUGCAAGUCUUUGGCGAAGCUGUGCUUGCACAGCCUAGCCAAGGCGGACGGGUGAGUAACGCGUAAGGAACUUGCCCUGCAGUCAGGGAUAACAGACGGAAACGACUGAUAAGACCUGGUAAAGUCAGGCGGACUCAUGUCCAGCCUGAUGAAAAGUGAUGCUGCAGGAGAGCCUUGCGUCCUAUUAGCUUGUUGGUGGGGUAACGGCCCACCAAGGCGAUGAUAGGUAGCCGGCCUGAGAGGGUGGACGGCCACAAGGGGACUGAGAUACGGCCCUUACUCCUACGGGAGGCAGCAGUGGGGAAUAUUGGACAAUGGGGGCAACCCUGAUCCAGCAAUUCUGUGUGCACGAUGAAGGUUUUCGGAUGGUAAAGGGCUUUCAGCAGGGAAGAAAAAAAUGACGGUACCUGCAGAAGAAGCGACGGCUAAAUACGUG
rnacentral:rRNA from 1 species